AUUGAACGCUGGCGGCAGGCCUAACACAUGCAAGUCGAACGAGUGGCGGACGGGUGUGUAAUGUCUGGGACACUGCCUGAUGGAGGGGGAUAACUACUGGAAACGGUAGCUAAUACCGCAUACCAUCAGAUGUGCCCAGAUGGGAUUAGCUUGUUGGUGGGGUAACGGCUCACCAAGGCGCCGAUCCCUCGCUGGUCUGAGAGGAUGACCAGUCACACGGGAACUGAGACACGGUCCAGAAUCCUACGGGGGGCAGCAGUGGGGAAUAUUGGACAAUGGGCGAAAGCCUGAGCCAGCCAUGCCGCGGGUGUGAAGAAGGUCUUCGGAUUGUAAAGCACUGUAAGUUGGGAGGCGUUACCAACAGAAUAAGCACCGGCUAACUUCGUGCCAGCACCGCGGUAAUUC
rnacentral:rRNA from 1 species